CAGGGACUACUCAUUCAGAGACUAUUCAAAGUGGUAACAGUGCUGAAUGAGGUGAUAACCGGCAGCGAGUUGCCAUCACGUGAUACCGCGCCCAACAACCACAGCGAUUUUCUUAACAACCACAACUGGAACAGUCCUCACAAUCUGUCGUCACAUGAUUUUUCGCUUUAGGUCUGUGAUCCUUAGCGAUGGAAUUUCCAGUUUCAGCUAUAGUUGCUAACAAAGGACCUGCAUUGUACUUUGCUUUUCAUGGAGCUCCCCUUGAGUCUAUCUGGAAAAUUCAGUUGGUGCAAAAUGCAGCACCCUGUAUGCUUCGCUGGACAGUUGUUGAUGUCAAACAAUGCUAAUGUAGCAGGAGUUGCACUGGCUAUCAGUACAUUUCAGAGUGCAGUUCAACUGCUGAUUAUCCCCUAUUUGGACCUGGACCUGGAUAUCUUCAAGACUACCUGUCCUAUGAUGGACUUUAAAGAAGAUGGUGAUCUGAAGACAGCUCCAUGAAUAGCAGAGAUGACGUUUGUGGCCAU